rnacentral:tRNA from 1 species
GGGGAUGUAGCUCAGUGGUCUAGAGCAGUCGGCUCAUAACCGAUUGGUCCCUGGUUCGAAUCCAGGCAUCCCCACCA